AUCUCACAAGUCAGAUGCAGGCAUGAGGACAGAUGGAGAAACAUCACAGAGCCAUCAUUUCUGGAAAUUGACUCCACAUAGAGGAGCUCAGCUGACAGAGCUGGGAUUCAGAGCUAUGCAUUCCAGCUCCCCAACACAGGCUUGAGCAGGUUGACACUUGUGUCAUUCAAAACGAGCUGUGAAGAGGAAGAACAACUGACUCAGAAGUAGCUCACUGGAAAACAGCAACAGCAAAUACACAGAACGAGCCUCACUCUUUACUUGGCACUCCAAGUAGUUCCUCAUAUCCAUAACCAUCACUUCAUUAUUCAUCAUAUUAUAAAUGUUACAAAACC
ensembl:processed_transcript 1700066O22Rik RIKEN cDNA 1700066O22 gene